GCAGCGCGCUUCGCUGCCGCUCAAUGGCCUGAAAUCCAUCUACCAGACGUGCGCCAUCCUUUGGCCAGAGAUGUCGACCUGUAGCUAAAAUCCAAGCGGAGUCAUUAAAUAUUACGGGCAGUUUUACAGCGAUUUGGAUUCUGGAAAUACCUGAAUAUCUGGUAAUGUGGUUGAGGCAGUGCCCUGACUGGGAGGGAUCAACACACUUUUCUACUCUAUAAUUGGUCUGGAUUCUUGAUGGAGGACAUAUUGAGGUUGAAGCGUGACUCUGCAGAGUUGGUUACAUGCGAUUCUACAGAAGCGGCCACUGAAUGUACGCAUCUUCUGCAGUAAAAUGCAGGUAGAAAAAACUGAUAGGGAGAUUGAAGUGUGACCUCUUGUGGUGAAUAAUAUAUAUUGCAUGCCACUUAUAGUGGAUACCCCGUGAAUCCUCCAAAUUAUCCAUAGGAGCACCAGAGGGCAAUAUGGG